UUUUAAUCAUUCAGAGCGAAUCGUCCAGCUUGCCCGGCUUCUCCCUGAAGAGGAGACCCAGCUCUAAUUUUCAAUGCUGGAUGUAUGAGUGGAGAAGCUUCCAGAAGACCCGCUGAGUCAGUAGAUAAUUGUCUUUGGCGUCUGGAACCUCCUGACCAUUUGGAUAGCUUGAAGAAAGCACGGUGAAAGCAUGUGACACCUGGGUGUAGUCAAUGCCUGAGUGUUGUGGAAAUACAGAAGUUCAAUUCUUUGCCUAGAUGGGAAAGAAACUCUGAGGUAUAAUUCACACUCCAGAGCUCCCAUAAAGA